CGGCCCUAGGGCGGUGCGAGCGGUGCGACUGCACCGGGCGCCGGUUAUGGGGGGCGCCGAAAUCAAUCGAAACGCGCCCGCUUUCGCCACACGUCACCGAAACGAUUAUUAAAAAAAAUCGUUAUUGACCGACGAUCCAUCUGGAGCGCAAACGGGCGGCGGCAGCGUGCAGGGCGGCUUUCUUUGAUAACAGAAGCAGGCAGGCGACGUGCGAGGGAGAGAGGUGAAAUUUCUUUCGUCCGUCGGUCGUCCGUCUCGUCACUUCAGUUGUGUGCGCCGCAGUGUUGUUCUUGAUACGGCAAUUGCCGUAAUAUACGGCAUUCAGGCAUCUUAGGCACCAUAAAUACGGUAUACGGCAGCACUUUGAUUACCGUAUCAAAAUAUACGGCAAUUGAGUAAAGUAGAGUUUUAUGAGUUUUUCAUGAGUUUUUAGUAAACAAAAAAUAAAUAUUUCGUCUAAUGGAACGAAAAAACUUGUAAACCAUAGAUGAAGUAGAAGCGCCACGAAAAGAAACGCCAAAAAUGCAACCUUAUCUCUGAGAUUUUAAUGUCUAAAAUCGUUAUUUUCUCAUUUUGGUAGAUUCUUCACUUUUGUUCGGGUAGGUUCUUGGACUAAAUUAUUCAAAACCUUAAAAAGUGAAGAAUAAAAAAAGUAAGUUUAAAAGUAGUAUACGCAUAGUACAUAAUACAUCACUUGUAUUUUUUUUUAAAUUUAAACUUUCCAAAUAAAGAUUUUAUACAAUACGGCAAUUUUCUUAGUUUUCCUUAAAAAUCCGGCAAUUUUAGAAUUAGAAUACGGCAACCCUAAAUUUGUCAGGAACAACACUGGUGCGCCGCGCCAGUGUCAGUCAACUGCAGGGUGAAGAAACUUCCAUACAACGGUCAUCAAAGUGAAACUUGCUUCCAAACAGCGACAUCGGUGAAUAAAUUCAAAUACUUUUUAACUACCUUAAAACGCUCUAGAUGUCGCUGCUCCUGUUUCCUUCAUAUUUUCAUUUUUUUCUUAAUUAAAAUAUAUUUGAGAAUAUUGUUAAUUACAAUGUGAAAACUUUUUUUAAAUGAAAUUAAUUUGUUUUAAUUUAAAACUGAACAUUGACAUUUUUGUUAUAAUUUACAUAAUAGAGUAGUAGAAAUUACUAUUUAACAUAUGGCAACUUUGUUUUUCCUCCAAAAUGGCCGGUGUUGUUUUUGUUAGGUUGAAUUGAAUGCAUUAUUGUUUUCUUAGCCAUCGUUUAUGAGUUCUGUGGCCCUAUUAAAGUAUUGAAGAGUCGAGUCAAAUUCAAGUUCAUUCCUUCGUACCUGCUGCUGUUCUGGUUCAUCGGAGUUUUGUUCGUUCCUUCGUGAAUCGCGAAGAAACUUUCUGUUAUGUUCACAAGUGAUCUGAGUUUUCUCAAUGUGCUGUGUUCUGUGUUGAAAACUUUGCGAAAAGACGCUUUUGGUGUAUAAUAUUAUGUGUGUUCAUAAAUAAAGUAAAAUUAUUAAAUUCAAAAGUUUUUGUUUACUUAUUUGCAUUUCCAUGUGCAAUGUAGAAUUUUUCCAAAUACCUUGUUUUGAAAAUACGUACACCAUAAAGAUAAAUAUUUUCAAAAUAAUGGAUUUGAAAAAAUUCUACAUUGUACAUCAUAAAAACAAUAAUUCUUUGAAGGUUAUGAGGGCCUAUGUGUGCGUGAACUGUGUGUAUGUGUGCGUGGACUUUAUGUAUGUAUGUGUGCGUGUACUAUGUAUGUAUGUGAGCGUUACGUACGUAGGUUAAGUACAGGGAAUUUAACACCAGGCUGUCAAUUAGUAGGCUCAAAAAUUUGACAGAGAGGGUUCUCUAUUUCCUAUGUAUUACUUUUCUCUAUGGUCAACUGUUAGUUGCUGAUGCUUCGCCAGCCUGUUGUCAUUGUUUAUUCUCGCGCAAGUGUAUUUAUUGUGUAUUUAGCGCAAAGUUACUUGUAUUAUUGCUAUUCUAUAGAUUAAACUCAAGGUAAGUACUGUUGCAGCAGGUCGUGUUCGUGUUCAUGUAAGUAUAAUGAAUGUAGGUACAUAAGUCUACGUCAUUUAGCGAUAUUAGAUCUUGGAUGUAUGUAGGUACUUAAUUAUUUGUUUUUAUAUAUUACCCGACUGCGAUGAACCCUAAAGGAGUGUUAUGUUUUCAGCUCGUAUCUUAAGGGUAUUGCAAUUUGCAAUGCAUUCUAACAGUAGUAAGCGAUUGUUAGGGCAGGGUGGCAUACGACCACGGCUUUCCUCUGAACAUCAUUACAUAUAUAUCUGUGUAUAAAAAUAAAAAUUGUAUGUAAGUUGUCUACUUAAUAGAUGAUAAAUAUUAAAUAGUUUGUUGAGAAGAAUGUCUGUCAAGAAUAUUUUCUUUUUCUAUACUUUUUAGAGCGCGACGCGAGCUUUCCAUAGUCGGGGUGUUUUUUUUUUGUUUUAGUUAUUAAUAUUUUUUUCUUUUUGUAAAGCGAACCUAACUCUGUGAUUUGUUACCGUGGAAGAAAUGGACUUUAUGUAAUCGCAGCAUAUAAUAGGUGUAUUGUAUUACAUUUAAUAAAUUUAUCUUUUACAGAAAAAAAUCAUGUCACUGCCUCCAAAAAAAUUAUCUGGUGCUCAAAACUUAAAAAGAAAACGGAAAAAGCAAGAAGAAUCUGAGAAGGCAGCUAAAUUAUUAUCGAAAUUUUUGAGACCUGAGAAAUCAUCUGAAUCGUUAUCAUCAGAACUAGUUCAACUCCACCACGCAACGGAAGAAGACCUACUUAAUAAAAGUUCUUCAGGCGAAGCUCAUGAAGAUGAAAAACAACACAUUCAAGAAGAUUUACCUGGUAUUCCAGGAACCUCUUCUGGAUUUCAAAAUAUUUCGGAAGAAAUUAUAUCCGAUGUACAAUCAUCAUCAUCUCCUUUUAGAAAAAAAAAAUAUGAUGAUAUUUCAGAAUGGCCAUUCAUUGACUCUGCGACAAGAGAUGAAAUAAUUACUGAAGGCCCUGUAAGUAAUCAAAUGAGUAACGAAAACUACCCAAGGAAACUUGACGGUCGUCAUUUUUCAAAUAUGCAUUUUGAAAGAGUAAUGCCAAAUGGGGAAACUUUCAAAAGAAGAUGGCUCGUGUACUCUAAAUCUGCAGAUAAAGUACAUUGUUUUUGCUGCCGUUUAUUUAAUACAAAUCCCCAGUCUAGAUUGGGAAAAGAAGGAUUUGACGACUGGAGGCACUUAUCAACGCGUCUCAAAAUUCACGAAACAUCCUCAGAUCAUCGACGUGCUGUGAACAAUUGGAUAGAAGCGUCAAUUAGAUUAAAGAACUUCAGUGGAAUAGACAAGCACUUGCAAAAGCAGAUUGAGAGUGAGAAAACACGAUGGGUUGCUAUCCUCGAACGAAUGAUGUCAAUAGUAUUUUUCUUAGCAAGCAAUAAUUUAUCGUUUAGAGGGAGUUCUGGAGCGGAAACUUUAUACACUCCUAAUAAUGGUAAUUUCCUGGGUUUAGUGCAGUUACUGGGAAAAUUUGAUAUUGUAAUGAUGGAGCACCUUCGUCGUGUUGUAAAUAAGGAGACUAAUGUCCAUUAUUUUGGCAAACGUAUUCAAAACGAGUUAAUUGGCUUACUUGCAAGUGAAGUCCGAAAUAAUAUUUUGUCUAUGGUAAAAUCAGCUAAAUACUUCUCUAUCAUACUGGACUGUACUCCUGAUGUAAGCCACGUUGAACAAUUAUCAGUAACAUUCCGUUUUGUCGAUACUAAUGAAGAAGUCGAAGUACGUGAGUGUUUUGUUGCUUACAAGCCGGUAAGUGACUCUUCGGGAGCAGGACUUACUGGAAUCUUUCUAGAUACAAUUGUGCAAGAGUUUGACUUGGACAUGAACGAUUGUCGCGGCCAAGGGUAUGAUAAUGGAGCGAAUAUGGUAGGAAUAAAUAAAGGUGUCCAAACCAGAAUUUUGAAUCAAUAUCCUCGAGCAUUUUUCAAUCCAUGUGGUUGUCACAGUUUGAAUUUAGUGAUAGCUGAUGCAGCGAAAACUUCCGUUAAAUCAGUUUCUUUAUUUGGAUUUCUCCAAAGACUGUUUGUUUUAUUUUCCGGAUCAACAAAGCGAUGGGAAGUGGUAUCCAAGCACAUUGAAGGGUUAUCCCUGAAAAAAGUUUGCGAAACUCGCUGGGAGAGUAGAAUUUCUAGCCUUGCUGCUGUUCGCUAUCACUACUCUUCAGUUCGUGAUGCCCUUCUGAAUCUUCAUGAAGAAACAAAUGACUCAGUCGCUGCAUCAGAGGCCUUGUCUCUAAUUCAAUACAUGGAGCAAUUUGAGUUCAUAGUUACAAUGGUGGCUUGGUAUGAUAUAUUGUUUCAAGUAAACAUUGUAAGUAAGGCUAUGCAGUCUGAAUCUAUGGAUUUACCAAAUGCGUCGCAAUUGCUGAAAAACUGCUCAGAAUUUGUGAAACAGUACCGAGACUCUUCAUCUGCUCUAAUAACAGCUAAGGAAAUAGCAUCUCAGGCUGAGAUAGACCCAAUUUUUAAGGCUGCCCGAUCCCGAAGAAAGAAACGAUUAUUUGAGUAUGAAGCCGUAGAUGAGACACCAUCUGAUCCUGAAGAAUUGUUUAAAAUGAACGUUUUCUACCCUAUGAUUGAUACAAUUGAGAAUGCCUUAGUCACUCGAUUUAAACAACUAUCAAUAUUCAAUGAUACAUGGUCAUUUUUAUACAACAUGAAAAUAAUUCCUGAAAGAUCCAUAUUGGAAAAAGCCUGUAGUGAUUUGCAAAUCAGUUUAACAGAUGGGGAAAAAUGUGACGUGUCUGGUUGUGAAUUGGUUGAGGAACUUAUGAGCUUGAACCCAUUAAUAAAAGAUCUUCAAUCAGCAGAGCCACUUAAAGUUCUCCAACUUAUUAAAAAGAAUGAUUGGCAGGAUAUUUUCCCAAAUGUGUGGACAGCACUUCGCAUCUUGCUGACUAUACCUGUAACUGUCGCUAAAGGGGAACGAAGCUUCAGUAAAUUGAAACUUAUAAAAACUUACCUACGUUCUACUAUGUGUCAGGAAAGACUGUCAGAUCUUGGAAUCUUGUCCAUAGAAAAUGCUAUUGCUCAGAAGCUAAAUUAUUCCGAAUUAAUAAAAAAAUUUGCAAGCGCAAAAGCCAGAAAGGUAGCCAUUUAAGUUUUUCAUUAAAGUGGUUGUUGGAAGUUUUUUUUUUUAAGACUGUAUGUAGCCUAUCAGUUUGAAUAAAAGUUGUGAAACAAAAUUAUUACUUAACUGUUUUUAUUUCUCAUCUGUACAAUUUGCCUCAGCAGGGCAUGAGGGUAAUACAAGCGGGAUUGACGUCAUUUUUUUUAUUGCGAAUGAGCAGAACAACUGCUAUGACAAGCACGAUAGUCAUCAUUGUACUUGCCUCAUAUAUCUAUAGUAAUUUGGCAGAUCUAAUACUAGUAGGUAAUCACGGAUAAAGUAACUACAUAGUAUAGGAACAACUCGGGGCGCCAUUUUGAGAUUUUGCACCACCUAAAACUUUUGCUAGGGCCGCCACUGCUGAUA